rnacentral:rRNA from 1 species
UACGAAGGGGGCUAGCGUUGUUCGGAUUUACUGGGCGUAAAGCGCACGUAGGCGGAUCGUUAAGUCGGGGGUGAAAUCCUGGAGCUCAACUCCAGAACUGCCUUUGAUACUGGCGACCUUGAGGCUGGAAGAGGUUAGUGGAAUUCCCAGUGUAGAGGUGAAAUUCGUAGAUAUUGGGAAGAACACCAGUGGCGAGGGCGGCUAACUGGUCCAGAUCUGACGCUGAGGUGCGAAAGCGUGGGGAGCAAACAGG